CCUACGGGAGGCUGCAGUGGGGAAUAUUGGACAAUGGGGGCAACCCUGAUCCAGCCAUGCCGCGUGUGUGAAGAAGGCCCUCGGGUUGUAAAGCACUUUCAGUGAGGAAGAACGCCUGGUGGUUAAUACCCAUCAGGAAAGACAUCACUCACAGAAGAAGCACCGGCUAACUCCGUGCCAGCAACCGCGGUAAUACGGAGGGUGCGAGCGUUAAUCGGAAUUACUGGGCGUAAAGCGCGCGUAGGUGGCUUGAUAAGCCGGUUGUGAAAGCCCCGGGCUCAACCUGGGAACGGCAUCCGGAACUGUCAAGCUAGAGUGCAGGAGAGGAAGGUAGAAUUCCCGGUGUAGCGGUGAAAUGCGUAGAGAUCGGGAGGAAUACCAGUGGCGAAGGCGGCCUUCUGGACUGACACUGACACUGAGGUGCGAAAGCGUGGGUAGCAAACAGGAUUAGAUACCCUUGUAGUC
rnacentral:rRNA from 1 species